rnacentral:rRNA from 1 species
UACGGAGGGGGCUAGCGUUGUUCGGAAUUACUGGGCGUAAAGCGCACGUAGGCGGCUUUGCAAGUUAGAGGUGAAAGCCCGGGGCUCAACUCCGGAAUUGCCUUUAAAACUGCAUCGCUAGAAUUGUGGAGAGGUAAGUGGAAUUCCGAGUGUAGAGGUGAAAUUCGUAGAUAUCGGGAGGAACACCAGUGGCGAAGGCGAUCAUCUGGGGUUGUUCUGACACUGAGGAGCGAAAGCUAGGGGAGCAAACGGG